rnacentral:miRNA from 1 species
CAUGAUGUCGACUAAUAAUAU